rnacentral:lncRNA from 1 species
UAACAACUUACAUAAAGAAGGAAGUGAAACAAGAAAUCUGACAGAGUAUACUAUUAAAGUAUACACAGGUGACCAAAGGGGAGCAGGGACUGAUGCCAAUGUGCAUAUUAUUUUAUUUGGGAAUGAGGACAAAUCUGAGGUAUUUCAACUCUCUCAGCCACUGGAGCAUCAAGACCCCUUUGAAAGAGGAAAGCGAGUGGCUGGUUUCUAGAAAAAGUAGAAAUCACAGAUGCAUCUAAGAAUUCAGUGUAUUGCUUCAACUGUAACAGGUGGCUUGCUGAGGACGAAAGUGAUGGCCGCACUAUAGUGCAACUUUAUCCACAGCUGCUUGAUUUCUGAUUCUUUCUGAGCGUGUUGCUUCUCCAAAUUCACACGGAUUUGAUUUACUUGUAUUUUAUCAUUUUGAAGGUAUUGUAAUUACUGUGAAGGAACGUCAAAACAAUGCAUUAAAAACAUCACAGUAAAUUAAACACGUCUAAUGUGAACACAGCAUUCCGAUCCUAUUAGAGAUGCUCAAAAACGUCGCAUGACUGAAAUUUAGAAAACAAAAAUUUAAAUCUGUAACAUGGCUCUGUGAACUUGAUCUGAGCAUUCAUAAUGGUAGGCUUGUGCAGUAACAUACUCAAACAUUUUUGUUUCAGUAAUAAUUUGUGGGUAAGUUAAAUGUAGCUCUUUGGUCACAUCUGUCAAUAUUUAUUAAUUUGAUAAAUCUGUUUCAAUUUCAACAUCUGUUAAAAUUUAGAUGUUCUCAAAAUCAUUUUUUGAACAAACUGCACAACCCUUCAGCCUUACCACAUAUUGUUUCCUUUUUCUAUAAGACCAUAACAGAGGCUAAUAAAGAAUUUGUUAUUCAGGAGUUUGCCCUGUGU